rnacentral:rRNA from 1 species
UAUACGAAGAGUUUGAUCCUGGCUCAGGAUUAACGCUGGCAGUGUGUAUAAUACAUGCAAGUCGACUGUGAGCUCCGCGCAAGCGGAGUCGAACAGGGCAGACGGGUGAGUAACACGUUGGUACCUGCCCCGAAGUGAGGGAUAACCCCGCGAAAGCGGGGGUAAUACCGCAUGUGCUCGCAAGAGUAAAGUCCGCCUUUGGCGGACGCUUCGGGAGGGGCCUGCGCAAUAUCAGCUAGUUGGUGAGGUAAUGGCUCACCAAGGCUAUGACGUUUAGCUGGUCUGAGAGGAUGAUCAGCCACAAUGGAACUGAGACACGGUCCAUACUCCUACGGGAGGCAGCAGUAAAGAAUCUUCCGCAAUGGGCGAAAGCCUGACGGAGCAACACUGCGUGGAGGAAGACGGCCUUCGGGUUGUAAACUCCUUUUCUGGGGGAAGAAGUUCUGACGGUACCCCAGGAAUAAGCGACGGCUAACUACGUGCCAGCAGCCGCGGUAAUACGUAGGUCGCAAGCGUUAUCCGGAAUUAUUGGGCGUAAAGCGUCCGUAGGCGUCCCGAUCAGUCUGAUGUUAAAUCUGAGGGCUCAACCCUCAGCUCGUAUCGGAAACUAUCGGGAUUGAGGUAUGCAGAGGCAGAUGGAAUUCCAGAAGUAGGGGUAAAAUCCGUAGAUCUC